rnacentral:ncRNA from 1 species
GAUCCGUAACUUCGGGAAAAUGAUUGGCUCUGAGGACUGGGCUCGGGGGUCCCGGCCCCGAACCCGUUGGCUGUCGGCGGAUUGCUCGAGCUGCUCACGCGGCGAGAGCGGGUCGCCGCGUGCCGAUGGGGGGACGGAUCGGGAAUCGCCCCUUCGGGGGCUUUCCCCGAGCAUGGAACAGUCGACUCAAAACUGGUGGAC